UACGGAGGGGGCUAGCGUUGUUCGGAAUUACUGGGCGUAAAGCGCACGUAGGCGGCUUUGUAAGUUAGAGGUGAAAGCCCGGGGCUCAACUCCGGAAUUGCCUUUAAGACUGCAUCGCUAGAAUUGUGGAGAGGUAAGUGGAAUUCCGAGUGUAGAGGUGAAAUUCGUAGAUAUUCGGAAGAACACCAGUGGCGAAGGCGACUUACUGGACACAUAUUGACGCUGAGGUGUGAAAGCGUAGGGAGCAAACAGG
rnacentral:rRNA from 1 species